rnacentral:tRNA from 2 species
UCCUGGUUAGCUCAGUUGGUAGAGCGCUCGCUGGAAAAGGAGAGAUCAUUGGUUCGAUACCAGGACCAGGCG